rnacentral:rRNA from 1 species
GAGGAAAAGAAACCAACAGGGAUUGCCUCAGUAACGGCGAGUGAAGCGGCAAGAGCUCAACUUUGGAAUCGCUCCGGCGAGUUGUAGUCUGGAGGUGGCCACCACGAGGUGUUCUAGCAGCAGGCAAGUCCUUUGGAACAAGGCGCCAGCGAGGGUGACAGCCCCGUACCUGCUUUUGCUAGUGCUUCCUGUGGCCCACCGACGAGUCGAGUUGUUUGGGAAUGCAGCUCUAAGUGGGUGGUAAAUUCCAUCUAAGGCUAAAUAUUGGCGAGAGACCGAUAGCGAACAAGUACAGUGAUGGAAAGAUGAAAAGCACUUUGAAAAGAGAGUGAAACAGUACGUGAAAUUGUUGAAAGGGAAGGGCUUGCACCCAGACACGGUUUCGGCCGGGCCAGCAUCAAGUAGAACGGGGUUAAAAGACCUGGGGAAUGUAGCUACCUCUUGGUAGUGUUAUAGCCCUUGGGUGAUGACCCCUGUUUUGCUUGAGGACAGCGGUCUCUAGGAUGCUGGCGCAAUGGUUGCAAGCCACCCGUCUUGAA